GACGAACGCUGGCGGCGUGCCUAAUACAUGCAAGUCGAGCGGACUUGACAGAGCUUGCUCUGUUCAAGUUAGCGGCGGACGGGUGAGUAACACGUGGGCAACCUGCCCUGCAGAUUGGGAUAACUCCGGGAAACCGGGGCUAAUACCGAAUAACAUUGAAAACCUCAAGGUUUUCUUUUAAAAGGCGGCUUCGGCUGUCACUGCAGGAUGGGCCCGCGGCGCAUUAGCUAGUUGGUGAGGUAACGGCUCACCAAGGCGACGAUGCGUAGCCGACCUGAGAGGGUGAUCGGCCACACUGGGACUGAGACACGGCCCAGACUCCUACGGGAGGCAGCAGUAGGGAAUCUUCCGCAAUGGACGAAAGUCUGACGGAGCAACGCCGCGUGAGUGAAGAAGGUUUUCGGAUCGUAAAACUCUGUUGUUAGGGAAGAACAAGUAUCGGAGUAACUGCCGGUACCUUGACGGUACCUGACCAGAAAGCCACGGCUAACUACGUGCCAGCCGCCGCUGUAAAAC
rnacentral:rRNA from 1 species